rnacentral:siRNA from 1 species
UUUGGCAAAGAUGUCGUCCUUCGC